UACGUAGGGGGCAAGCGUUAUCCGGAUUUACUGGGUGUAAAGGGAGCGUAGACGGCAGUGCAAGUCUGAAGUGAAAGGCAAGGGCUCAACCCUUGGACUGCUUUGGAAACUGUGCUGCUGGAGUGUCGGAGAGGCAAGUGGAAUUCCUAGUGUAGCGGUGAAAUGCGUAGAUAUUAGGAGGAACACCAGUGGCGAAGGCGGCUUGCUGGACGAUGACUGACGUUGAGGCUCGAAAGCGUGGGGAGCAAACAGG
rnacentral:rRNA from 1 species